rnacentral:rRNA from 1 species
CCUUACGGGCGGUGAGUGCAAUUGCAGUUGAUACUGCGUCGCUUGAGUGCACACAGGGAUGUUGGAAUUCAUGGUGUAGCGGUGAAAUGCUUAGAUAUCAUGAAGAACUCCGAUCGCGAAGGCAUAUGUCCGGAGUGCAACUGACGCUGAGGCUCAAAAGUGUGGGUAUCAAACAGGAUUAGAUACCCUGGUAGUCCACACAGUAAACGAUGAAUACUCGCGGUUGGUUCGUUAGAGUCAGCCGCCAAGCGAAAGCGUUAAGUAUUCCACCUGGGGAGUACGCCGGCAACGGUGAAACUCAAAGGAAUUGACGGGGGCCCGCACAAGCGGAGGAACAUGUGGUUUAUUUCGAUGA